GCCGGGAUGGCGGAACUGGUAUACGCAGCAGACUCAAAAUCUGCCGGCCGCAAGGCCAUGAGGGUUCGAUUCCCUCUCCCGGCACCA
rnacentral:tRNA from 1 species